GGCGGGAUAGCUCAGUUCGAUAGAGCGCCGGCCUCAUAAGCCGGAAGUCGCAUGUUCGAAUCGUCCUCCCGAAGCCA
rnacentral:tRNA from 1 species